rnacentral:rRNA from 1 species
CCUACGUGAGGCUGCAGUAGGGAAUCUUCCACAAUGGGCGAAAGCCUGAUGGAGCAACGCCGCGUGGGUGAAGAAGGUCUUCGGAUCGUAAAACCCUGUUGUUAGAGAAGAAAGUGCGUGAGAGUAACUGUUCACGUUUCGACGGUAUCUAACCAGAAAGCCACGGCUAACUACGUGCCAGCAGCCGCGGUAAUACGUAGGUGGCAAGCGUUAUCCGGAUUUAUUGGGCGUAAAGGUAACGCAGGCGGUCUUUUAAGUCUGAUGUGAAAGCCUUCGGCUUAACCGGAGUAGUGCAUUGGAAACUGGGAGACUUGAGUGCAGAAGAGGAGAGUGGAACUCCAUGUGUAGCGGUGAAAUGCGUAGAUAUAUGGAAGAACACCAGUGGCGAAAGCGGCUCUCUGGUCUGUAACUGACGCUGAGGUUCGAAAGCGUGGGUAGCAAACAGGAUUAGAUACCCUUGUAGUC